rnacentral:lncRNA from 1 species
GUCGUUGUGAUUUGCAUUCCUCUCAGAUUGAGAGAUGGAGAUCAUUUUUUCCAGUGCUUGUUACCCCUGUGUAUCUGGUUUAGGAAAAUGUCUAGUCAGGUCUGUUGCCCUUUUCUCAAUCAAGUGCUUGGGUUUAUUUAUUGAUGCAUUGAUUUUUUUUUUUCGGUGUUCGUUUGUGUCUGUUGUUGAGCUGGUAAUUAUGAAACCCCAUCCUUACCUGGGCUUUGGGAACCGGAUAAAGUGCCUGCAUGUUGUCCCUGGAAGGUGGUACAGAGGUGACAUUUUGGAAGAUGUCCAGGUGGAGACUGCUGCCGCUCGGGAAAGAGACAGGCACACGGACGCCGCUGAACCUGUCAAGGUUUCCUAGCAAAGCGACACUGGACCAGGCAUAAUUACCUAGCAGGUAUGAAUUAAUUUGUAUACUACAAUUAUAUUUGUUUAUUUAUUUUUUGCUUCCCUAGUUAUUUUCCUGCAGACAUGUGUGGCAUGCAGAUACCCUCUGCUCUGAAAAUGAAUCCACUCCUAUGGCAUACAUCCCCAAGCUCAUACUCAGUACCCUCCACCACCAGAGAUGCUGGAUCAGGAGAAACAUUAGGAUUGCUUUAUAUAUCCAUUCACUUAGCUCUUCUGUAGGAAUAUAUAUAUUCUUUGUUAUUUAAGCUCAUUAUUUUCAAUAACUUUGUAUCAAUUUAUUUGAUUGCCUCCUGUGACAUUAGGAAGUCGUCUGGCCAGAGAUUAAUCUCCCAGUGCAGCUCUUACUGUAGCCACAGUGACAAGGAGAGACUCUUUAGCCAGGCAGCCACGAGGGAACUCCCUGAGAGCAUGCUUGAUGAUACCAAUCAACCCUGCUUAAUUUGUCAGACCUGGUUUCAGUCAGGCCUCGUAAUGAGGCGCCACACCGAAAAGCGAGGCUCAACUCGAAAGGCAAGAAGGCCAGUUCCCUCAACCCUUUGAGAAAAAAUCACAGGGAUUAGCGCAGCUGCCCACCCUGAUGACACAGAAGCCCCCAAUUUAUUCAUCAAUACCACCCUCUUUCUCCACCUACCAAAACCCCCGACGGUCAGGGACAUGAAAAUGGCCAACUCACAAUACAACACCAACGCUUUGUGGGUCUCUGAACCUGCCUCUGAAGAAACGUAAGGCAUGGCAAAAACCCAGUGAAUCCUUCAAGUAUUCUGCACACACUGGACCCAACCCAGCUGCCAAUACACCUCCAAAUGCUGAAGGGACACUUUGUCUUCUGCCUGACACGAGGCAUCUUGGAGCGGAGGACCUGCCCAGGAAAUAACCAAAAAUAUUCUGGAUGCUUGCUGUGGGUUCCGCUCAGGACACCAUCAGCCCGGACUCUGAGCCUUGGAGCUCUAACCUCUUAGAGCCUUGGAGCUGCACCUGGGGCCGGAAGGGACUCUGGUGCCCUCGUGUGGACACCUGCUCUAACAGCCACUCUCAGAUUUUCUUCCUCUUUCUUGCUCAGCAGUCCCCAGGGCUGCAUUGGCCAAAGGCCAUGGGCAGGUUGGGUCUCCUUCCUCGCUUUCAUGAAAUACCAAGAAGUGCACUUCUGAGUGGGCUAUUUCUCUCUCAAAGACUUUCUGAACCCUGAAGCCAACCUAUGCCAUGCCUUGCUGUUAAACCCUUAACUCCAGACCCAUCAUAUAAUGAAGGCUUUCAUCUUUAUUAUAUAUCCCUGCAUAUAUAUAAAGAUAGGUGUGUGUAUGUAACGACUGCUUUUUUUAAGUUUCCACCUGUUAUUCCUUCAUUCAUAAAGUAUGCUUCUUUUCUUUGUAUUUUUUCCUUUCUCUCUUUCCCUAUUUUCUUUCUAAAUUUAUUGACCCCCCAAAGCACGUGCGAGUUGUCUGCACAUAGAUGACUGUCAAGCCACAGUACUUACUAAUGCCAUCACAGAGACAAAGACAGAUGUUUUACCGCGUGUGUCAGGAGUGUUCUUGGUGAGAGCUUUCUAUAUAUCAAUCAACUGACUGGACUUAGCAUGCCCAACCUUGUUUUAGGUCACGUCUUCAUACCAGGUGCAUAGAAAGAAGAGAAGAGGCUCACGUGGAAAGGAAAGGAUGGAGUUUCACGAGAAUUCAUGAGAUAAAAUGCCCAAUGAUUGGCCAAGCUGCUUCCCAAAGUAUCACCGUUUUUGCACCUCCCAAGCAAAACCUGCAGGCACUUUAUAUGGAUCUAAAAGCCCAGGUCAGCCUGGGCUUCCAAAAUUAACAGCUCAACCACUGCCAUCCAACAGAAAAACAAAACCAACAACCUUAACGAAACGUUGGCAAAAACCUGAAUAGACCUUUCCCUAAACCAGAUAUACAGAGGACAAACCACCGGAGAGAAUGAACAGCAUCGCUAACUGAUAGAGAUUUCCAAAUCAAAAUGCUGCUGAGGUAUGGCCUCGCCCCUCUCCGAAUGGCCAUCUUCAAAUAAAAAAACCCUGGAGAGCA